CUUUUCUCCCAGAAAUUCAAAUCUUCAACACAAUCUCUUUUACCUCUAAAGCAGAUGAAAUUGCCAAACCAUUUGUGGCCAUCACAAGUUCAGUUAGUCAUUGAAAUAUGAAUAUGCAUUAUACCAUGCUGGCCUAGAUUAAAGUGAGCCUCUGAUGUUGGUCACUGUGGCUGCUUCCUAACAGGUUGAAAGCAGAUGCAGGUUGACCAGAGCUGACAGCAGAUGCAUUCAGAAAAUAGCUGGCUUCCCCCAUGUGCAAGGCUGGACAUCCAAGAACACUUGCCAUGGAAAUCUGAGUGAUUAUCUUGAGGAUUCAGCUUGCUGAUUGCUUUGAUAUUUGAUAGCAGACACCAAUAUCUUGGGGCACGCUCCAUGGGAAGCUGCCACAUGGACCUGACGUCCAUGGACAUUGGCAACCAAGACAUGCCAACCUCUAACAAUCCACAUGGCACAUCUUCGCACACCUACAGGAUGCUUCUGCACUUCAGUGUUGUACGUCGGGCUGCACCAGUAACUCCCUUGUAAUGCUGCAGCAAGGUUACUGUCCAGUCAGGGACAACACACCCAGCUCACAGUCUGGACCAGGCUGCAUCUCCAACCUCUUCACUCAUGGCUGUAGCACUCACUGACUCUGAACCUACCUAGUUGCUCACAGCAUCCCUUGCCUUGCCUUUGCCUCCUCAGCCAGAGACGCCAGGUUCAUGUUAGUCCUUCCCUGCCAUGUACUACAGACAUAAAAAAGGAAACUUGCAAUGGUUAUCAGCAGGCUUCAGUCAUGUUGAGGGGGAUAGUUUCACUCAGAUGUUCCCAACACAGUAAGCCAAGGGCAACCUCUAAUCCCAGUAAAGCUCUGCUCAGGGAGGUCAGUGUCAGGAUUGUCUCCUCAUAAGGAAUGAGGAAUUGAAUGUCAGGCAGCCCGCAACCUAUUUUGCCCUUUUCUGGGCUGUUUUCCUCCUGGAAUGAGAGAGGGGCUGGUAUUACGGAAGAUGAAAGUGGACAGCACAGCUGUUACUUUUGGAGAAGGUUGAGGGAUGUCCAAGUGAUAUGCAGCGUAGAGGUCAUUCACGGUUAGGGAUGCACAGUGUGGUGUAGAUGAGGUGAGAUAUUGCAGGCAAUUGUGAGAGUGGUAGAGCAUGAGCCAUGGUGGCUAAUGGGUUCAGUAGUGGCAAAAGGUGAGUAAGGCGUAUCACAGAGAAGAUGGUGAUACCUACGUUGGUCGAGUACAGAACGUCACUGAACUUCUUUCUACAUUGCAAUGCAUUCUUUCAGAUGGCAGAGACUGCUUUAACCCAGGCUGACACAGUCUGCUGCUCUGAUCUCCACUGCUGGUCCUGGAAAGAAGCAUUAGUUGAUCCCCUGCACUAUUCUUUCCAAUGGAACGUCCAGGGCCAUGUCUGCAAAGUGUAGCAUCAAUUUUCUUCUUUCUUCCAAGUCCAGGGCAAAUGUCAGGUUCAGCACUAGUCAACAGGCUGUUAAAGAUGGCGUAGAUGCAAGGGAGGCUGGUGAAUUUCUGAAAAUUCAAUGAGUGGCAAGUCGUUCUAGGAAUGGUGUGUAGUAAGAUGGGGCUGAAACUGGAUGUGAAGGAUACCAUAGGAGCAUGAUGGGCAAUUAAUGCUGUGCAUUUGGUAAGAUACAGUGAGAAAACUUGCUAGGCUUCAUGGCAAAAAUCCCUCCAAAACACACAAUGAAAUUCACACUUAGGCUAAAAAUCCUAUGAUUCAGUGAUUUGUGUUGUCAUUUCAGAUUUCCAACAUCAGUAUUUUACUUUUAGAAAACAUUAAUAUUUUGUUGCCACCUUAACAUUUACCUGGGCCACUGUCUUUUAUACAUUGGCCGGUUGGAGCUUUUUCCAUUGGUUGAUGAGAUAUGGGUGUGCUGGCUGGGCCUGCAUUCAUUGAGCAUCCCUAAUUGCCCUUGAUCUGAGAGACUUUCUUGAGCCAUUUCAGGAGGAAGUUCAAAGUCAACCACAUUGCUGUAGGUCAUAAGUUCAAUAUAAGUCGACCAGAUUAGGACAGCAGAUUUCUUUCCCAAAAGGGCAUUCGUGAACCAGGGGAGCUUUAGAAAAACAAAAAAUAGCAACGUCAUCAUUGCCAUUCAGCAAGGUUUUUUUUCCACAAAAGCUAACAUUACAAUAUCUGCCAUGGCAAGAUUCAAACCCAUAUUCCCAGAAGAUUAACCUGGGGCUUCUGGGUUACUGGUCCAAAGGCAGUACCCUGCAGCAGUGCCUCCCUUUACCCAUGCAAUUUCAUGGAAUUUCCAGCUGAACCUAUCUGUGUGAAGUUCCAAACAUAAACUACCAAGUUGUCCAAACCACCUGAGUGGCUGGCAAUGUAAUCACCCACUCUAAAUAUUUCUUUUACAAUAUUUUUAAUUAAGGCACUAAACAACAAAACCUGAAUUACUGAAACAUUAAAAUUCAAUGGAGAAGAUUAAUGACAACUGUGUAUAUCAACAUAGGAAUUAUGAUUGAAUUUAACCUGCAGUGUUAGGCUUGAGCAGAAAGCUGAACAAAUAGAAUUCUUUAGCUGUAUAUGGCAAUGUAUCAUUUUAAGAAAUUGCAGCUUGACGUUUUUAUGGCACCUUUCAGUGAGUCACAAUUAUGUUUUUCUUUGAUAUUUUUCUCUAAUAUUCUUUACGCAUUAUGAAUGAUGAUUUUGUAUUUGUGACAAGGCAACUUCUUAGGUAGAAUAAAAGUGACACGAAUCCUCAUCCAAACAUGGGGUGUCAAAGAGUGGGCAGCAGUUUUUACACAAGAUAAAAAAUUGGAUUUGCUCCCUUGCACUGGGUGGUGAAGGGAUUGUCCUUUGGGACCAAGGAUGCUCCGAAAGCAUAUCCAAUAAUAAGCAGCUGACCAAUUUUGCAGUUAUAUAGGGCAGGUGGACGCCAGGAAUGCAACCAUAUUCCAGACAUUCAAGAAUAAAUACUCAGGCACAGAAACAAGAAUGCCACUGAGAAUUUAUUACAACUCUAAUCUGGUAUGAGACACAUUCUCUCUUAGUCAUGCAUUGCUUCAAUUUCAAUAUGAAACUCAGACAAAGGAAGUUUUCUUCCAAAAAUGCUUUAGAGUUAACUAAAUAUUACAAAUGAAUUGAACUUAAUUGCAGAACAGUUACUUCCUAAGAUUUGGACCAUGGAGAGUUUAACAGCCAUCUGUUACAUAAAGCGGUUUCAUUUAAAUUGACGUGUUGAUUGCCUUUAGCAGUUCUUUAUGAUAAUAUAAAUUUAAAAUUUUCAUUUUCCAAAUUUAGCAUGG